rnacentral:rRNA from 1 species
UACGUAGGUGACAAGCGUUGUCCGGAUUUACUGGGCGUAAAGAGCGCGUAGGCGGUCGAUCAAGUCGAGUGUGAAAGCCCCCGGCUCAACUGGGGAGGGUCAUUCGAUACUGAUCGACUCGAAGGCAGGAGAGGGUAGUGGAAUUCCCGGUGUAGCGGUGAAAUGCGCAGAUAUCAGGAAGAACACCAAUGGCGAAAGCAGCUCUCUGGGACGGUACUGACGCUGAGACGCGAAAGCGUGGGGAGCGAACAGG